rnacentral:rRNA from 1 species
AUUGAACGCUGGCGGCAGGCCUAACACAUGCAAGUCGAACGGUAACAGGAAGCAGCUUGCUGCUUCGCUGACGAGUGGCGGACGGGUGAGUAAUGUCUGUGAAACUGCCUGAUGGAGGGGGAUAACUACUGGAAACGGUAGCUAAUACCGCAUAACGUCGCAAGACCAAAGAGGGGGACCUUAGGGCCUCUUGCCAUCGGCUGUGCCCAGAUGGGAUUAGCUAGUAGGUGGGGUAACGGCUCACCUAGGCGACGAUCCCUAGCUGGUCUGAGAGGAUGACCAGCCACACUGGAACUGAGACACGGUCCAGACUCCUACGGGAGGCAGCAGUGGGGAAUAUUGCGCAAUGGGCGCAAGCCUGAUGCAGCCAUGCCGCGUGUAUGAAGAAGGCCUUCGGGUUGUAAAGUACUUUCAGCGGGGAGGAAGGGAGUAAAGUUAAUACCUUUGCUCAUUGACGUUACCCGCAGAAGAAGCACCGGCUAACUCCGUG